CUCCCCUCCCGAAGCUGCCCAGGCCUUCGUGUCCCUCAGUGCUUCCCUACCUCAUCGCCGUCUCCCCUCACGGUACUUCAGCCCACUGUCCCCACCGUUCCUGGGGCUCGCCAGGCGCCCUCUCCCCCGCCCGCUGCCCGGUGCAGCGCUCUCCCGACGCCCGCGUGGCUUUCUUCCAGGUCUUUGCUCAAAUGUCAGCUUACAAGGUCUUCUCUGCUGCCCUCCUGCUCCGUGGCACUGAUUCCCUCCCGAUGCACUGUCAGGUCAGCUGCGCAGCAAAGGGAUUUUUGGACCCGCAGCAGCGCCUGACACACAGCAGGCAUUCCCUCAGCGCUGCGGAAUACAGGCAGACCCGGGGCUCAGGGCGCUGUCUGGGCCUCACUGGGACCCGUGGGGUCAGACAGAGGCUGAGGUCUGUGGGUUGUGGCCUUGUUUCCAAGAUGCUCCACGGGCUGACGGCCCAGGCGCCUCUCGGGUGCGGAGAAGGCAGGAAACCUAACCCCUGCUUCCAAAUUUAAUCAGUAGAAACGGUAUCAUCACCCAGCACAGGCCAGGAUCAUUUCUGAGGUUAGUUCUGGCCCAAUCAUGCAUGCAUUUCUUUUUUCUUUUUUUUUUUGAGACGGAGUCUCACUCUGUCACCCAGGCUGGGGUGCAAUGGCCCGAUCUCGGCUCACUGCAACCUCCGCCUGCCGAGGGUUCAAGCGAUUCUCCCGCCUCAGCCUCUCGAGUAGCUAGGACUAGAGGCACCCGCCACCACACCGGCUAAUUUUUGUAUUUUUAGUAGAAACGGGGUUUCACUAUAUUUGGCCAGGCUGGUCUUGAACUCCUGACCUCGUGAUCCGCCCGCCUCGGCCUCCCAAAGUGCUGGGAUUACAGGCAUGAGCCACCGCGCCCGGCCUCAUGCGUGUAUUUCUUUCUUCACUCAACACUCAUUGAGCAACUACUGCACACCAGACCCUAUGCUGAAUGCACGCAGAUACCCCCAGUCCCAUGAGAUUGGACAGGAGCGUGGAACUCAAGGGUGACUCUGGCUCUGCCUGGGGAAAGAGAGAGAGGGCUUCCGAGGGGUAAGGACAUUGGAACCAGGGCUGAGGGAUGAAUAGGAUUUGGUUGGAGUUGGACUUCCUGCAAAAUGAGGCAUUGGAGCGAGACUGUUGAGGAAUUAAGAGUUGGAGCCUGUGCAUUUAGAUUUUUUGUUUGUUUGUUUGUUUUUUAGAGAUGGAGUCUGGCUCUGUUGCCCAGGCUGCAGUGCAAUGGCGCAAUCUCGGUUCACUGUAACCUCCGCCUCCCGGGUUCAAGUGAUUCUCCUGCCUCAGGCUCCCGAGUUGCUGGGAUUACAGGCUGGGCACCACCACGCCCGCCUAAUUUUUGUAUUUUUAGUAGACGGGGUUUCACUAUGUUGGCCAGGCUGGUCUCAAACUCCUGACCUCAGGUGAUCCGCCCGCCUCGGCCUGCCAUAGUGCUGGGAUUACAGGCGUAAGCCACCGCGCCCGGCCUGCAUUUAGGGUUUUGAAUGUCCAGAGGUUGGGGACAGGGGCUUCAGCCUCCUUCCAGUCGUCUUUGCAGCAGCGCGAAUCCAGUCAUUCCUGCUCUGACCACCAGAGAGCGCACGGGCCCCGUCCCUGGGAAUCCAGGAAAACCCCAGGCUGGGGAGGGGCGAGGCUUGCCAGACGCAGCCCCUGCACCAGCCUUCACGCUCCGCAAGUGCAGGAGGAGCAGCAGGCCUGGUUCAAACGACGCCAAACCACGAACUGGCUGUGUGUCCCUAGGCAAGUGGCCUAACCUCUGAGAAGGCGGCAGAACCUGACGGUUUUCCGUUGGCUCGGAGCAGACAUGAGGACCGCUGGCACCUCCUCAGCCCUCUCUGUGCUCUGCUGCCUGCCCCGAGUCACCUGCCCCUCGCUGACCCCUCCCCAGCCUCACUGGCCCCCUUGGGUGGGCUAAGCAGGUUCCCACCUCUGGGCCUUGCAAGGCUGUGCCCUUCCCCAAGUCCCCUCUCCUUCCCCUGCUUUUUUUUUUUUUUUUUUUUUUUUUUGAGAUGGAGUCUCACUCUGUUGCCCAGGCUGGAGUGCAAUGGUGCGAUCUCAGCUCACUGCAACCUCCGCCUCCAGGGGUCAAGCGAUUCUCCUGCCUCAGCCUCCCGAGUAGCUGGGAUCACAGGCAUGCGCCACCACGCCCGGCUAAUUUUUGUAUUUUUAGUAGAGCUGGGGUUUCGCCAUGUUGGCCAGGCUGGUCUCGAACUCCUGACCUCAGGUGAUCCGCCCACCUCGGCGUCCCAAAGUGCUGGGAUGACAGGCGUGAGCCACCGCGCCCGGCCCUUUCCCCUGGUUUUUAGGAGGCUGCCCCAUCCACCACUGCACCCCACUUCUCAGAGCCCCCUUUCCAUCCCCCACAGCCAUCCUCACAUCUGUGGGUUAUUAAUGGCGUCUCCCCAUAUGUGAGGCCAAUACCCAGCGCACCAGUAGGUGUUCAGUAGAUUCCCAAAUGCACCAACAGUUGCCGAGUGUCUACUGUGUGCUGGGCUCAAGCAGGUGCUGGAAACACAGUGGGAAUGAGAAGGAACGUAGGGAUUUUGUAUCAAACUAAGCAGGGCGAGGUGGCUCACGCCUGAGACCAGGAGUUCAAAACCAUCCUGAGCAACAUAGUGAGACCCUGUCUCUACAAAAAUAGAAUUAGGCCGGGGACAGUGGCUCAUGCCUGUAAUCCCAGCACCUUGAGAGGCUGAGGCAGGAGGAUCACUUGAGUCCAG
rnacentral:lncRNA from 1 species